AGCGAACGUUUGCGGCGGGCCUAACACAUGCAAGUCGAACGGGCAGUCCCUUCGGGGGCUGUCAGUGGCGCACGGGUGCGUAACACGUAGGUAAUCAACCCUCGGGUUCGGGAUAACACUUCGAAAGGGGUGCUAAUACCGGAUGCGACGAGCGUCUCCUCGGAGAUGCACGGGAAAGAUCCGCAAGGGUCGCCCGAGGACGAGCCUGCGGCCCAUCAGCUUGUUGGUGAGGUAAUGGCUCACCAAGGCUAAGACGGGUAGCUGGUCUGAGAGGAUGAUCAGUCACACUGGAACUGAGACACGGUCCAGACUCCUACGGGAGGCAGCAGUGGGGAAUAUUGCGCAAUGGGCGAAAGCCUGACGCAGCCACGCCGCGUGAGCGAUGAAGGCCUU
rnacentral:rRNA from 1 species